GGAUCCUCAUUCGGGCCUGAUGGAAAGAAACAGAGAUUUAACCCUGGCCACGCAAAAACGAAAUCGUGCGGCGAAUUAAAAGGGUCGCAGGGGAACCGGAACCUAUCCUGACAAGAAGCAUGCACUCCCCAAGACGCACCAUAUUCAAUCCUUUUUAUUUUCCAAAACGUAGCAUGUAACUCCACCAUUAAGGAACACCGCACAAACAUCACAAAUUCUUUCAGUAGUAGUAGCUGCUUUCGAGUCUUGGGGAAAGGAUAACCGGUGACUAACUGCAAACCUCCCAAGAGGACACAGGCACGUGGCUCUCCCCCAGAAAUUGAUCACCAGAAUGUUUGCGUUGUGGAGUGUUGUAGGACUGAAAUCUGGAUCACUGGACUGUCCCUUUGAGUGGUCUGGAGAGGAACUGGAGCCUCUACCCAAAUACUGGUACAUUAAGAGAUUCUGCAAAGGGAAUUCUGGGUGUUGACGCAUCUUUUCAAAGAGCCCGUAGCCAGUAAACCCUAGAGACUGAUGUGAAGUCCUCUCACUGGCUCGCCCCAGACAGUCUUGAUGUGGUGUGUGUGUAGGGGGGGGGAGUUGGGCCAUCAUGAGAAAGUGUUACAUUAUUAACCUGCAACAGCAUGGUUAUUGUGGGCUGGGGUAAAAACACCACAAGCCACUAUCACCGCCUAGCACUUUUAGUCAGGUUUAAGGUUUGUGCACUACCACUAAGCACAACCUGCCAGAGUUGGGUUUGGCCUUUUUGUUGAUAGACACAUUUUGCAAGCUGUACCAUUCUUUAGAAAGACCCCCGAUUUAAACCCAAAGCAUAUCAAGAUUUUGUAUCAUUAGGACAAAUACAGUAUACUUGGCAUGAGAAAAUAUAAAACACUAAAUCGCCAGUCAACAGAUCAAAGGAGAGAAGACCAAGACUGUUCGGCACUUAAUAGCCCACUGAUCCAAGGAUCUCUUCCAGAUGUUUCUUGAAAGAUGCCAAAGUUUCGGCUUCAUCCUUGUGGCUGGGCACACACAACUCCGCGGGAGAAGAUGUGGCUCCUGUUCUCGUUUUUAAACAUACUUUCGCAUAGUUUCCACUGGUGUCCUGUGCUUCCCGUUUCACCCUUCGUUUUAAAGAACCCCUCUGUGAAAAGGAACUGGGAGAGGAAGUAGACUGCAAAGUUUUUUCCCCUCUCUUCCACGCAAGAAUCCUAAGGUGGUGGCAAAAUGUCAUAGAUUCCCACCAUAGGUUUCCCUUUUGAUACCCUUGGAAUUUAAAUAGUAAGAGCCAGUGAAUUCAACAUCCUGGGAAGGAAGAAAUAAUACGUAGUUUUAUAACUCUUAGUUUCCUAAAGUCAAUAUCUGUACCUUUGGAAACUCACCAGUGUGACAAAAAUACCCAUACCCAGCCCAAUUAUACAAGUGGAAAAACAGGCAUGCCACUCCAUAGUUUCUUUGAUUUAUUAUCAUAUUUGUUACAGAUCUGCAAUGUUUCUUUAGCAAUAACUCUUCCAGCUAUCAAGUACAGUAGGUAUACUUAUGCUUACAACGUGUAAAUAAGAGGUGGAAAAACAACCAAAGAAAACU